AGCGAACGCUGGCGGCAGGCCUAACACAUGCAAGUCGAACGAAGUCUUCGGACUUAGUGGCGGACGGGUGAGUAACACGUGGGAACGUACCUUUUGGUUCGGAACAACUCAGGGAAACUUGAGCUAAUACCGAAUGUGCCCUUAGGGGGAAAGAUUUAUCGCCAUUAGAGCGGCCCGCGUUAGAUUAGCUAGUUGGUGGGGUAAAGUCCCACCAAGGCUACGAUCUAUAGCUGGUCUGAGAGGAUGAUCAGCCACACUGGGACUGAGACACGGCCCAGACUCCUACGGGAGGCAGCAGUGGAGAAUCUUGCGCAAUGGGCGAAAGCCUGACGCAGCCAUGCCGCGUGAAUGAUGAAGGUCUUAGGAUUGUAAAAUUCUUUCAGUAGGGACGAUAAUGACGGUACCUACAGAAGAAGCCCCGGCUAACUUCGUGCCAGCAGCCGCAGUAAAAC
rnacentral:rRNA from 1 species